AUUGAACGCUGGCGGCAUGCCUUACACAUGCAAGUCGAACGGCAGCACGGGUGCUUGCACCUGGUGGCGAGUGGCGAACGGGUGAGUAAUACAUCGGAACAUGUCCUGUAGUGGGGGAUAGCCCGGCGAAAGCCGGAUUAAUACCGCAUACGAUCUACGGAUGAAAGCGGGGGACCUUCGGGCCUCGCGCUAUCGGGUUGGCCGAUGGCUGAUUAGCUAGUUGGUGGGGUAAAGGCCUACCAAGGCGACGAUCAGUAGCUGGUCUGAGAGGACGACCAGCCACACUGGGACUGAGACACGGCCCAGACUCCUACGGGAGGCAGCAGUGGGGAAUUUUGGACAAUGGGCGAAAGCCUGAUCCAGCAAUACCGCGUGUGUGAAGAAGGCCUUCGGGUUGUAAAGCACUUUUGUCCGGAAAGAAAUCCUUGGCCCUAAUACGGUCGGGGGAUGACGGUACCGGAAGAAUAAGCACCGGCUAACUACGUG
rnacentral:rRNA from 1 species